rnacentral:rRNA from 1 species
AGUGAACGCUGGCGGUAGGCCUAACACAUGCAAGUCGAACGGCAGCACAGGAGAGCUUGCUCUCUGGGUGGCGAGUGGCGGACGGGGGAGGAAUACAUCGGAAUCUACUCUGUCGUGGGGGAUAACGUAGGGAAACUUACGCUAAUACCGCAUACGACCUACCGGUUAAAGCAGGGGACCUUCCGGACUUGCGCGAUUGAAUGAGCCGAUGUGGGAUUAGCUAGUUGGCGGGGUAAAGGCCCACGAAGGGGACGAUCCGUAGCUGGUCUGAGAGGAUGAUCAGCCACACUGGAACGGAGACACGGGACAGACGCCUGCGGGAGGCAGCAGUGGGGAAUAUUGGACAAUGGGCGCAAGCCUGAUCCAGCCAUACCUCGUGGGUGAAGAAGGCCUUCGGGUUGUAAAGCCCUUUUGUUGGGAAAGAAAUCCAGCUGGCUAAUACCCGGUUGGGAUGACGGUACCCAAAGAAUAAGCACCGGCUAACUUCGUGCCAGCCGCCGCCGUAA